GCUGCUGUAGCUCAGUUGGUAGAGCAGAAGACUGAAAAUCUUCGUGUCGCAGGUUCGAUUCCUGCCGGCAGCA
rnacentral:tRNA from 1 species